UCCAGCUACCAAAGCCUUUUUUUGAGCUGUGCUGUCCUACUGAGCUUCCCUCUAUUGUAUCAGUUAAAAACUGAAAAUGCUUAAAAAACUCUUGAAAACUGACGACCAAGCCUUAUGGCAAAAGUCGACGCAAUAAACGAGCCAUCCCUCUAUGACUCUGCCAUUGAUUUUAUAGAACUCAUUUUAGAAAAUGGGCAAUGGGGUCCAUUUAAAGAUCUGCCCCGAUUGGUUGCAAUCGGCUUCCCCGUUCUUCUCUCGAAAAACCAACUGAGGACAAUGAGGUAGACUUUCUCCAGCGGAGUGGUGCGUGGCUCACUCCAUUCCAAGGUCGCCCGAAGAUCCGGAAUCAUUAGAAGGGGGUUACUGUCGGGCAGUCCACUGUCCGCAUGCCGUAAAACCCGACAGCUAUGGGGCAAAAAACAGAUGUCCUGCAACACGAAAGCCAGCCCCGAGACCCAGAAGAAGCACUUCCGAUCGGUAAUAAAGCACUUCGAUUGGCCCGGGGCAAUCCUAGGCCCAUUAGAAAAACAUCGGAUUUUAAAGAGCAGAGCUAAGGAAAUCUAAAAUAUGGAAGAUCACCCCUUUUAACAACUACCCGUACUUUGGAAUGGUAGUUGCGGAAAACAAUUAACCCUUGACUUAUUACACGUAAUAAAAAAAAAUACAUGUUUACAAGUCGA